GAUGAGCGCUGGCGGCGUGCCUAACACAUGCAAGUCGAGCGAUCUUCUUCGGAAGAGAGCGGCGGUCGGGUGAGUAACGCGUGGGUAACCUGCCCUAUACACACGGAUAACAUACCGAAAGGUAUGCUAAUACGAGAUAAUAUAAGAGAUUCACAUGGAUUUCUUAUCAAAGCUGAGGCGGUAUAGGAUGGACCCGCGUCUGAUUAGCUAGUUGGUAAGGUAACGGCUUACCAAGGCGACGAUCAGUAGCCGACCUGAGAGGGUGAUCGGCCACAUUGGAACUGAGACACGGUCCAAACUCCUACGGGAGGCAGCAGUGGGGAAUAUUGCACAAUGGGCGAAAGCCUGAUGCAGCAACGCCGCGUGAGUGAUGAAGGCCUUCGGGUCGUAAAACUCUGUCCUCAAGGAAGAUGAUGACGGUACUUGAGGAGGAAGCCCCGGCUAACUACGUGCCAGCCGCCGCCGUAA
rnacentral:rRNA from 1 species